rnacentral:rRNA from 1 species
AGAGCGGAAUUUCUUGGUGUAGCGGUGAAAUGCGUAGAUAUCAAGAAGAACGCCGGUGGCGAAAGCGGCUCUCUAUUCUGCUACUGACGCUGAAGCAUGUAAGCUGGGGGAGCGAACAGGAUUAGAUACCCUGGUAGUCCCAGCUGUAAACGUUGUACACUUGGUGUUGGAGGAGUUGACCCCUUCUGCGCCGGAGUUAACGCGUUAAGUGUACCGCCUGGGGAUUACGGCCGCAAGGUUAAAACUCAAAGAAGUUGACGGGGGCCCGCACAAGCGGAGGAGCAUGUGGCUCAAUUCGAUGCAACGCGAAGAACCUUACCAGGGCUUGACUUGCCCGUCGUAUCCUUCUGAAAGGUAGGAGUCAGUUCGGCUGGACGGUGCACAGGUGCUGCAUGGCUGUCGUCAGUUCGUGCCGUGAGGUGUUGGGUUAAGUCCCGCAACGAACGCAACCCCUAUGUUUAGUUGCUACCACUGGUGAUGAGCCAGUGGGCACUCUAUACAGACUGCCCAUGUUAAGUGGGAGGAAGGUGGGGAUGACGUCAAGUCAGUAUGGCCUUUAUGCCCUGGGCUGCACACGUGCUACAUUGGCCCGCACAAUGGGAAGCAAUACUGUGAGGUGGAGCAAAUCCCUAAAAACCGGUCUCGGUUCAGAUUGGAGUCUGCAAUUCGACUCCAUGAAGUAGGAUUCGCUAGUAAUGGCG